GAUGAACGCUGGCGGCGUGCCUAAUACAUGCAAGUCGAGCGAACAGACGAGGAGCUUGCUCCUCUGACGUUAGCGGCGGACGGGUGAGUAACACGUGGAUAACCUACCUAUAAGACUGGGAUAACUUUGGGAAACCGGAGCUAAUACCGGAUAAUAUAUUGAACCGCAUGGUUCAAUAGUGAAAGACGGUUUUGCUGUCACUUAUAGAUGGAUCCGCGCCGCAUUAGCUAGUUGGUAAGGUAACGGCUUACCAGGGCAACGUUGCGUGGCCGCCCUGGGGGGGGGGUGGGCCCCCCUGAACUUGGGCGAGGGUCCGGCCUCCUGGGGGGGGCGGCGGUGGGGAACCUUCGGAAAGGGGGGAAGGCCUGCGGGGGCAAGGCCGGGUGGGUGAGGAGGGUCUUCGGUUCGUAAAACUUGGUUGUUGGGGAAGAACAAUGUGUAAGUAACUAUGCACGUCUUGACGGUACCUAAUCAGAAAGCCACGGCUAACUACGUG
rnacentral:rRNA from 1 species